AGUGAACGCUGGCGGUAGGCCUAACACAUGCAAGUCGAACGGCAGCACAGGAGAGCUUGCUCUCUGGGUGGCGAGUGGCGGACGGGUGAGGAAUACAUCGGAAUCUACUCUGUCGUGGGGGAUAACGUAGGGAAACUUACGCUAAUACCGCAUACGACCUACGGGUGAAAGCAGGGGACCUUCGGGCCUUGCGCGAUUGAAUGAGCCGAUGUCGGAUUAGCUAGUUGGCGGGGUAAAGGCCCACCAAGGCGACGAUCCGUAGCUGGUCUGAGAGGAUGAUCAGCCACACUGGAACUGAGACACGGUCCAGACUCCUACGGGAGGCAGCAGUGGGGAAUAUUGGACAAUGGGCGCAGGCCUGAUCCAGCCAUACCGCGUGGGUGAAGAAGGCCUUCGGGUUGUAAAGCCCUUUUGUUAGGAAAGAAAUCCAGCUGGCUAAUACCCGGUUGGGAUGACGGUACCCAAAGAAUAAGCACCGGCUAACUUCGUGCCAGCAGCCGCCGUAA
rnacentral:rRNA from 1 species